rnacentral:rRNA from 1 species
GAAGAAGGCGUUGGGGGUGUAAAGCUUUUUAGCCCGGAGAGAAAUAAUACGUUUUAAUCCGGUGCGGAAAUGACGGUACCUGAAGAAAAAGCACCGGCUAACUACGUGCCAGCAGCCGCGGUAAUACGUAGGGUGCAAGCGUUUAUCGGAAUUUCUGGGCGUAAAGCGUGCGCAGGCGGUUGUGUAAGACAGGUGUGAAAUCCCCGAGCUCAACUUGGGAAUUGCAUUUGUGACUGCACAGCUAGAGUACGGCAGAGGGGGAUGGAAUUCCGCGUGUAGCAGUGAAAUGCGUAGAUAUGCGGAGGAACACCGAUGGCGAAGGCAAUCCCCUGGGCCUGUACUGACGCUCAUGCACGAAAGCGUGGGGAGCAAACAGGAUUAGAUACCCUGGUAGUCCACGCCCUAAACGAUGUCAACUGGUUGUUGGGAAUUAACUUUCUCAGUAACGAAGCUAACG